rnacentral:rRNA from 1 species
GUGAACGCUGGCGGUAGGCCUAACACAUGCAAGUCGAACGGCAGCACAGUAAGAGCUUGCUCUUACGGGUGGCGAGUGGCGGACGGGUGAGGAAUACAUCGGAAUCUACUUUUUCGUGGGGGAUAACGUAGGGAAACUUACGCUAAUACCGCAUACGACCUACGGGUGAAAGCAGGGGAUCUUCGGACCUUGCGCGAUUGAAUGAGCCGAUGUCGGAUUAGCUAGUUGGCGGGGUAAAGGCCCACCAAGGCGACGAUCCGUAGCUGGUCUGAGAGGAUGAUCAGCCACACUGGAACUGAGACACGGUCCAGACUCCUACGGGAGGCAGCAGUGGGGAAUAUUGGACAAUGGGCGCAAGCCUGAUCCAGCCAUACCGCGUGGGUGAAGAAGGCCUUCGGGUUGUAAAGCCCUUUUGUUGGGAAAGAAAAGCAGCAGGUUAAUACCCCGCUGUUCUGACGGUACCCAAAGAAUAAGUACCGGCUAACUUCGUG